CCCGGGUAUUGUACACACCGCCCGUCACACCAUGGGAGCGGGAUGUACCAGAAGUAGGUAGGCUAACCGCAAGGGGGCCGCUUACCACGGUGCGUUUCGUGACUGGGGUG
rnacentral:rRNA from 1 species